rnacentral:rRNA from 1 species
CCUACGGGAGGCAGCAGUGGGGAAUAUUGGGCAAUGGGCGCAAGCCUGACCCAGCAACGCCGCGUGAAGGAAGAAGGCUUUCGGGUUGUAAACUUCUUUUAAGAGGGAAGAGCAGAAGACGGUACCUCUUGAAUAAGCCACGGCUAACUACGUUCCAGCAGCCGCGGUAAUACGUAGGUGGCAAGCGUUGUCCGGAUUUACUGGGUGUAAAGGGCGUGCAGCCGGGAAGACAAGGCAGAUGUGAAAUCCCGCGGCUCAACCGCGGAACUGCAUUUGAAACUGUUUUUCUUGAGUACCGGAGAGGUCAUCGGAAUUCCUUGUGUAGCGGUGAAAUGCGUAGAUAUAAGGAAGAACACCAGUGGCGAAGGCGGAUGACUGGACGGCAACUGACGGUGAGGCGCGAAAGCGUGGGGAGCGAACAGGAUUAGAUACCCUUGUAGUC